AACUAAAACAAAACAUUACGAUGCUUCACCAAGAGACACAUAAGAUACCUAUGACAGUUGAUCAUCAAUUUUAGUUCAAAACAUAUUACCCUCUCCAUUUUCAAUCACUUUAAACCUAUCUGUGUAUAUCCAUGAAGAUCAACAAUGUGAUAGAAAGGAAUCAAGAUAUGACAUCAACUUAGCAACAAUAACCAUGCCUAUAUACAAAUUACACUACCCAAAUAAGUAGGCAACUAGCAAUGCAACCGAUGUGCCCUUACAACAAAGAAGUCCCUCCUCACUCAUAUAUGAAUCAAGCAUGUAAA
rnacentral:lncRNA from 1 species